AUUGAACGCUGGCGGCAGGCCUAACACAUGCAAGUCGAACGAGUGGCGGACGGGUGAGUAAUGUCUGGGAAACUGCCUGAUGGAGGGGGAUAACUACUGGAAACGGUAGCUAAUACCGCAUACCAUCAGAUGUGCCCAGAUGGGAUUAGCUUGUUGGUGGGGUAACGGCUCACCAAGGCGACGAUCCCUAGCUGGUCUGAGAGGAUGGCCCGGCAAACCUGAACUGAGGCCAGGUCCAGACUCCUACGGGGGGCAGCAGUGGGGAAUAUUGGACCAUUGGGGGAAACCUGAUGCAGCCAUGCCGGGUGUAUGGAAGAGGGCCUCGGGUUUGAAAGUUACUUUAGCGGGGAGGCGUUACCCGCAGAAGAAGCACCGGCUAACUCCGUGCCAGCAGCCGCGGUAAUUC
rnacentral:rRNA from 1 species